GACGUAGGGUCCAAGCGUUGUCCGGAUUUACUGGGCGUAAAGAGCGCGUAGGCGGCUUGUUAAGUGUGGUGUGAAAUCUCCAGGGCUCAACCCGGAAACUGCACCGCAGACUGGCAGGCUUGAGGAAUGCAGAGGUAACUGGAAUUCCUGGUGUAGCGGUGAAAUGCGUUGAUAUCAGGAGGAACACCCAUGGCGAAGGCAGGUUACUGGGCAUUAUCUGACGCUGAGGCGCGAAAGCGUGGGUAGCAAACAGG
rnacentral:ncRNA from 2 species